CUACUGAUCUUGCUUUACUGUUUUAUAUGUUCUCGUGCUUCCCUCUAGUUUCACUUUAGAUAAUUUGGAUGCUUGGAAUACAGCUGUCUCCUUGCCCAUGUCAUCCAAAGUAUCGGUAUCUUGUUCAUUGUCGAGCCUUUUCAUUCUCCUCUAUUGGUUUAUUGGCUGAUCAAGAAAAUGACUGCUGCUCUCUACUUCAUAUGUUGAACUACAUCGACUCCCAGGUGUUCUGCUAUAGCUGUAACUGGCUAUCGUUUCAUUAAAGGCAUCCAUGGCCAGCGUGCAGUUAUCAUGUUUGAUGUCACUGCAAGGUUUACAUGCAAAAACGUCCCCACAUGGCAUAGGGACCUCUGUUAGUUAGCUCUGAAACAAUCUGCAACCAUUUUUCCAUGUUCUGUAUUUUCUACUACUACACUUGCCAUGAUUUUACAUUUUUUGUCGUACUUGAUUGAUAUGUCUGGUUGCAUUCAGGGUUUGUGAGAAUGUUCCUAUCGUUCUCUGUGGAAACAAGGUUGGUGUAAAAAAACAGGCAGGUGAAAGCAAAUGUGGUUACAUUCCACAGGAAGAAGAAUCUGCAGUGCUAUGAAAUUUCUCCUGAGAGCAAUUACAAUUUUGAGAAGCCUUUUCUGUAUCUGGCUAGAAAGCUCGCAGGGGAUGCAAAUCGUCAUUUUGUCGAGCCGCCAGCCCUCGCACCUCUUGAAGUUCAUAUCGACCUGGCUGCACAAUAACAGUAAGUGAAACAAAAACUUGACAACAUUGCUGAGUUACAUGAGUCACCUUAGUAUCAUAUAAUUUUUUGUUCUUCAUUGUUAAAGGUAUGGAAAAUAAGUAAAGAAAUGGUAAGAUUGCUCCAUCGUGACCUAUACAUCACGGGUUCAAAAUAUGAAAAUAUUUAUUGGCAUAUGGAGGUAAGGCUGUUUACAUCUGACCAUGCCUAAACCUACAAUCAUGGAAGCCUCGUGGUGUCCUCCUUUCGGGACUAGCUUAUUCCAUGGAGUCUUGGCUUUAAUUUUAUCUUCUGGACCGGUUUAUUUCCAUGGUUUUAUUUUUGUCCUUUCAGAUUGGCUCAUUUCCAUGGAUUAGUCAUCCAAAUACUUAUUUUUAAGCUGUGCUGAUUUUCUGUAUUCCUUGGAUUGUUAAAUCCUGAUGGGCUGCCACAAUACGUGGGUAGACAUGAGUCAAUUUGGGCCCUGGGUGGCCCAAGUAAUAGAGCAGUAGCUACUCCGUGGGGUUUGUUGGCAGCCCAGCUCCAACUAGGCCAGGCUUUGCAAUCUCAGCGUGUCGUGAUUAAUGGUACGAGCGAGGACCGAUGACUUAGGCGAGGCGACGAGGAGUCAUUGAUGGGCCCAAAGAGACCGUGGUGGCCAUUACCCAUCGAGGUUUCUCGGCCCAUGCUGGCCUCCUGCAUGUCCGCAGAACUAUAUACAUUUGAGGAGUGAUUGAUGCACACUGGCAUCUUCUGAGGGAGACAUGAAUCCGAGCAUUGAAAGCUGGUAUCUGAACCUCAGCUACCGCCAUGUCGCUUCCAUUCAUGUGCGGGUCCUUGGGAACAAUAGAGAGAGACAUGGGAUCCUUGCCCACCUAAUCUACGUUUACGACUGAGAGACAGGAGAGGGACUGAGAGAAAUGAUGGGCAUUUUGUAGAGCUUAAAGCUGGGCAUGGUGUGACUGGUUGCUGUCUGUCCGUGGACGGAGGUGAAUUGGAUUAGCAUUUGCUCCUCUGUAGCAGCCGGUUCCAGUGAACCAUGAAUGUUAAAAAAUAACCUCUUCUUUGGAGCAUCUCCAAUCAUGGCGAAAUAUAAACUCACGACUUAGGAUGAAAGGAUGGCAUGGGGUUACUUUGCAAACGUGUGUGACUUACCUCAGUUACAGGAAUUUUUAAUCUAAGGCACCUCAAAGCAAUCUUUAGGCUUCGCAUGAUAUUAUAAGCUCAAUUCCGUCUAAACUUGCUACUUUUAAUUAACCUCCAGGUUUUUUAUAGCUUAUAUGUAGCAUUUCUUUUGGAGGACUUGGUGGUUAUUCCCCACCCUUUAGAUUUGAACUUGAGACCUCUCGUCUGCAGAGAUGGAUAUCGACCAGCUGAUUCAUUAGCUUAUGUACUAGCUGACACUUCUGAACUUUAAAACUCUAAAAAGUUAUUUUCUUUCGAACCC